GGCAGGGGUGGUGCAUGGUGCUGUGAAGACACCGGGAAGGGAGUGUCGCUGGCCAAGACGGGCUUCCCCAAUAGGCACCCAGACGCGAGAACGUUCAGCAACUGGAAAUGAAGUGAAAAUUCCCUAGCAAUUGCACAAUGUUCCUCUCCAGCAUUUCUUCUAUUCUGUCACACCUGGAAGCAAGAACCUGAUGACACACAUUUUCACAUGUUUCUACGAUUCUCUCUGUUGAAAGAAGUAGCAGGCAAGGAGUGAUGCAUUUUAUUUG
ensembl:lncRNA